ACAAGCGGUGGAGCAUGUGGUUAAUUCGAAGCAACGCGAAGAACCUUACCAGGCCUUGACAUGCAGAGAACUUUCCAGAGAUGGAUUGGUGCCUUCGGGAACUCUGACACAGGUGCUGCAUGGCUGUCGUCAGCUCGUGCCGUGAGAUGUUGGGUUAAGUCCCGUAACGAGCGCAACCCUUGUCCUUAGUUACCAGCACGUUAUGGUGGGCACUCUAAGGAGACUGCCGGUGACAAACCGGAGGAAGGUGGGGAUGACGUCAAGUCAUCAUGGCCCUUACGGCCUGGGCUACACACGUGCUACAAUGGUCGGUACGAAGGGUUGCCAAGCCGCGAGGUGGAGCUAAUCCCAUAAAACCGAUCGUAGUCCGGAUCGCAGUCUGCAACUCGACUGCGUGAAGUCGGAAUCGCUAGUAAUCGUGAAUCAGAAUGUCACGGUGAAUACGUUCCCGGGCCUU
rnacentral:rRNA from 1 species